rnacentral:rRNA from 1 species
CUACGGGCGGCUCCAGUGGGGAAUAUUGCACAAUGGAGGAAACUCUGAUGCAGCAACGCCGCGUGGAGGAUGACACUUUUCGGAGCGUAAACUCCUUUUAUAUAGGAAGAAGAUGACGGUACUAUAUGAAUAAGCGCCGGCUAACUCCGUGCCAGCAGCCGCGGUAAUACGGAGGGCGCAAGCGUUACUCGGAAUCACUGGGCGUAAAGAGCGUGUAGGCGGAUUAAAAAGUCAGAAGUGAAAUCCUAUAGCUUAACUAUAGAACUGCUUCUGAAACUCUUAAUCUAGAAUAUGGGAGAGGUAGGUGGAAUUUCUGGUGUAGGGGUAAAAUCCGUAGAGAUCAGAAGGAAUACCGAUUGCGAAGGCGAUCUACUAGAACAUUAUUGACGCUGAGACGCGAAAGCGCGGGGAGUAAACAGGAUUAGAUACCCGGGUAGUC